rnacentral:lncRNA from 1 species
AUGAGAGGACACAGGGAGAAGGCAGCCAUCUGCAAGCCAGGAAGAGAGUCCUCACCAGAAACCAACCAGAUGUUCAGAUCGCAAAACUUCUUACAGAUGCUACCAGUAUAUGAAAUAGAGCUCAAAACAUACACUGAAUUCUACUUUUUUUGUUUUUGUUUUUGUUUUUUUUGAGACAGAGUCUCGCUUCGUCGUCAGGUGCCAGGCUGGAGUGCAGUGGUGCAAUCUCGGCUCACUGCAACCUCCACCUCCCGGGUUCAAGCAAUUCUCCUGCCUCAGCCUCCCAAGUAACUGGGACUACUAGCAUGUGCCACCACGUCCAGCUAAUUUUUGUAUUUUUAGUAGAGAUGGGGUUUCCCCAUAUUGGUCAGGAUCGUCUGAAUCUUUGGACCUCGUGAUCCGCCCACUUCGCCUCCCAUUGAAUUCUACUUUUAUGUAUACAAUUUGUUUCAUCAGGGAGAUUGCCAACUUUGCAAGGGCAAGAACUAAAUCUGUAUUUUACAUGAUCUAGGGUACCUAGCAUUGCAUUAAUCUAUAUUAUAUGAAUAAGUGUAAUAAAUAAAUAAACAAAUUUAUCUUAAAUAUUUUAUACCUCCUUAAACCAAGGACAAAAUCAUUCCUAGAUUUUGUGGAAAUAACAUCAUAAGCAGUGAAACAUUUUUAAAGUGUUGUCGAACAAAUGUUAUGAGUAAUAUUUAGCUCUAGUAGUUUAGAAAGCUGUGUAGAUAAUCUAUCCUUGGGUAUUCACAAUCACAACAAAAAUAAUGCUUUACAGACACUGAGGCUGGGCUUGGUGGCCCAUGCUUGAAGCCCAGCACUUUGGGAGGUGGGCAGAUUGCUUGAACACAGGAAUUCAAGAUCAACCUGGGCACUAUGGUGAAACCCUGUCUCUACAAAAAUAAAAAUAAAAAUUAGCCAGGUGUGGUGGUUGAGGUGGGAAGAUCACCUGAGCCUAGGGAGGUCAAGGCUGCAGUGAGCCAUGAUUGUGUCACUGCACUCCAGCCUGGGUGACAAAGUGAGACUCCAUCUCAACAACAAAAACAAUAGCAAAAAAAAGCAGACACUGAGAAAUCUAUGAAACAUUUAACUUUAUCUUAUUGAACACCAUAUAAAUAUGAGCUUAAUUUUCCUUAUAAUUCUGCCAAUAGAUAUUCUCAUGAGGCAGAAGGUAGAAGGGCACUAGCCCUUUUAGAAGAUGCUAAUUCUAUCCAUGAAGGCAGAGCCCUCCUGACCUAAUCACCUACUCAAGGUCCCAUCUCAUCAUACAGUUGCAUUGGAGAUUACGUUUCAAUAUGAAUUUUGCAGGGGACACAAACAUUUAAACCACAGCAACCAGUAACUGACAGACCCAAGAGGCACUUUGGCCUGCAGAGCAAGCAGAUUGACAGGAGGAGGAGUGGAAGGGAGCAGGCUCUCUUCAAGGACCAUGUUUCCAGCAAGUGCCUUGUAACUGUCCUUAAAGGUGCUUGAAAAUGAUUCUAAUAACAUGGUUUUUGUUUGUUUUGUAAAGCCUAUACAGCUACCUUUGUACAAAAAUUAUUCAACUUCUUUUAUUACAGCACAGUCUAAAGUGAUGCUGAAGGCAAAUAUUUAAAGGAAAAAUAUGAUGUUUGCUGUUGCCCUAAAUCAUAAAUAACAAUUGUUCCCUCUAAACCGAUUUAGGAAUCUCUAUGAUAGGGUUUUUACUCUAGCUGGACCUUAUCCCCCAAACUCCUGUUUGCCCUGUAGACAGAGCAGGACUGAAUUAUUAUUAUUUUUGUUUGUUUGUUUCUUUUGAGCACUCUA